rnacentral:misc_RNA from 1 species
UAAUAAGUGUUUUAUGGCACUUUUUUAAAUCCAUAUCCACCUUGUGUGCAAUGUCAGUCGAUCUUCUUCAUGGAGAUCGACCAAACGAUCAACCUUUAUCUUUUAACUCUUUGUCUGAAAAAUAUUAUGAAUAAACAAUUCAAAAUA